UAUAUAUAUUAAAAGCAUAAAAUAUGCAUGUGAACAUUGUAAAUAUAGUAUGUGACAGAAAAUAAAAGUGAUAAGGGCAUACUGUACAAAAUUGUGGGGGUGAUAGUGGACAUUAUUCAACAACAAAUUGCGGAAAUACUAUUAGCAACUAUAUUGUGAGAGUGAAUAAUUCAUGUUAAGGAGGCCUCCCCCAACAUCCUCACAAAGUUUCAGGACAAAAUCCCUACAUUUUCGCUGAAAUCUCGAUUGGUUCCGUUUUGGAAAGCCAAACCGGUAAAGCAAAAUCUCAACAACGUUGCCGGCAGAGCACCGGUGAUUCAAGUCACCAGCACCGGCAAGUACAACAACACCGGCAGAGCACCGGUGAUUCAAGUCACCAGGACCGGUUACCACAACGGCAACGGCAAGUACAACAAUACCGGCAGAGCACCGGUGAUUCAAGUCACCAGCACCGGUACCACAACGGCACCGGCAAGUACAACAACACCGGCAGAGCACCGGUGAUUCAAGUCACCAGCACCGGUUACCACAACGGCACCGGCAAGUACCACAACCGGCCACAACAACAACCGGUAAGUCAACACCACCGGCACAGCCCCGGUGAAGCAACCACCGGUUACCACAACGGCACCGGCAAGUACAACAACACCGGCAGAGCACCGGUGAUUCAAGUCACCAGCACCGGCAGCACAACAGCACCGGUAAGUCCUCAACCGGCCACAACAACAACCGGUAAGUCAACAACCGGCCACAACAACGACCGGUAAGUCAACAACCGGCACAGCACCGUUGAAUCAAACGCCGAUUAUCACACCAGCACCGAGGAGUAAGCACAACGACGCGGCACAACACCGGUGAGUCAGCAACACCGGCAUAGCACCGGUGAGUCUACCGCAACCACAGAACCGGCAUAGCACCGGUGAAUCAAUCACUGGUUUCUACAACAGCACCGGUGAUUCAAGUCACCAGCACCGGUAAGUCACCGAUAACAGAACCGGUGAGUCACCAUAACAACGUUGCCGGCACAGCACCGGCAAGAUAACAACACCUACACCGCAGCAGUCACAGCCACAACAACAACCACCAGAGCAGCGACAACGGCCAACGGCUGCCAUAACAGCGGCGCACCAGGCAACUAUACCAACAGCAGUGCCCCACCAAAGCCUGCUGCAACGGUGGGUGAGUCCAAGGUGCAAACGUGCACAUUAGGGGGAAG